rnacentral:rRNA from 1 species
CUACGGGGCGCUGCAGUGAGGAAUCUUGCGCAAUGGGGGAAACCCUGACGCAGCGACGCCGCGUGGGUGAUGAAGGCCUUCGGGUCGUAAAGCCCUGUCGAGAGGGAAGAAUUGCAUUUAGGUUAAUAGCCUAAUUGUUUGACGGUACCUCCAAAGGAAGCACCGGCUAGACUCCGUGCCAGCAGCCGCGGUAAUACGGAGGGUGCAAGCGUUGUUCGGAAUCACUGGGCGUAAAGGGCGUGUAGGCGGCUGAGUAAGUCAGGUGUGAAAUCCCUCGGCUCAACCGGGGAAGUGCAUUUGAUACUGCUCAUCUUGAGUACUGGAGAGGGAGAUGGAAUUCCCGGUGUAGAGGUGAAAUUCGUAGAUAUCGGGAGGAACACCGGUGGCGAAGGCGAUCUCCUGGACAGAUACUGACGCUAAGGCGCGAAAGCGUGGGGAGCAAACAGGAUUAGAUACCCCCGUAGUC